rnacentral:rRNA from 1 species
AUUGAACGCUGGCGGCAGGCCUAACACAUGCAAGUCGAACGAGCGGCGGACGGGUGAGUAAUGUAUGGGAAACUGCCUGAUGGAGGGGGAUAACUACUGGAAACGGUGGCUAAUACCGCAUACCAUCGGAUGUGCCCAGGUGGGAUUAGCUAGUAGGGGGGGUAAAGGCUCACCUGGGCGACGAUCCCUAGCUGGUCUGAGAGGAUGACCAGCAACACUGGAACGGGGACACGGUCCAGACUCCUACGGGAGGCAGCAGUGGGGAAUAUUGCACAAUGGGCGCAAGCCGGAUGCAGCCAUGCCGCGUGUAUGAAGAAGGCCUUCGGGUUGUAAAGUACUUUCAGCGGGGAGGCGUUACCCGCAGAAGAAGCACCGGCUAACUCCGUGCCAGCAGCCGCGGUAAUUC